rnacentral:rRNA from 1 species
UACGUAGGGUGCGAGCGUUGUCCGGAAUUAUUGGGCGUAAAGAGCUCGUAGGCGGUGUGUCGCGUCGGGCCGUGAAAACCUGGGGGCUCAACUCUGGGCGUGCGGUCGAUACGGGCAUCACUUGAGUUCGGCAGGGGAGACUGGAAUUCCUGGUGUAGCGGUGGAAUGCGCAGAUAUCGGGAAGAACACCCGUGGCGAAGGCGGCUGCUCUGGGACGGUACUGACGCUGAGACGCGAAAGCGUGGGGAGCGAACAGG